rnacentral:piRNA from 1 species
UGGGAGAACUAAAAAGAAAGGUGCUGGGU